rnacentral:rRNA from 1 species
CGUGUAGGCGGUCGGCCAAGUCUGCUGUGAAAGCCCGGAGCUCAGCUCCGGAAGGGCGGCGGAAACUAGUCGGCUGGAGCGCGAUAGAGGAGGGUGGAAUUCCUGGUGUAGCGAUGAAAUGCGUAGAUAUCAGGAGGAACACCGGCGGCGAAGGCGGCCCUCUGGAUCGUUGCUGACGCUGAGACGCGAAAGCGUGGGGAGCAAACAGGAUUAGAUACCCUGGUAGUCCACGCGGUAAACGAUGGGUACUAGGUGUUUGGGGUAUUGACCCCCUGAGUGCCGCAGCUAACGCAUUAAGUACCCCGCCUGGGGACUACGGCCGCAAGGUUAAA